rnacentral:rRNA from 1 species
GAUGAACGCUGGCGGCGUGCCUAAUACAUGCAAGUCGAGCGAACUGAUUAGAAGCUUGCUUCUAUGACGUUAGCGGCGGACGGGUGAGUAACACGUGGGCAACCUGCCUGUAAGACUGGGAUAACUUCGGGAAGCCGAAGCUAAUACCGGAUAGGAUCUUCUCCUUCAUGGGAGAUGAUUGAAAGAUGGUUUCGGCUAUCACUUACAGAUGGGCCCGCGGUGCAUUAGCUAGUUGGUGAGGUAACGGCUCACCAAGGCAACGAUGCAUAGCCGACGUGAGAGGGUGAUCGGCCACACUGGGACUGAGACACGGCCCAGACUCCUACGGGAGGCAGCAGUAGGGAAUCUUCCGCAAUGGACGAAAGUCUGACGGAGCAACGCCGCGUGAGUGAUGAAGGCUUUCGGGUCGUAAAACUCUGUUGUUAGGGAAGGACAAGUACGAGAGUAACUGCUCGUACCUUGACGGUACCUAACCAGAAAGCCACGGCUAACUACGUGCCAGCCGCCGCUGUAA